rnacentral:lncRNA from 1 species
UUAUCUACUUCACCCCUUAUCCAGGACUGCCUCAGAUUUUCAACUUCUUCUUCUAGCUCUCUCUUUUUCAGCAGCGCAUCCUGGAGCACCCGACGGAGUCACUGACUUUCGUUCUCCUCCUCUCGAUGCCUCUUCUUCAGGACCUCGGAUUCCACCUCAGCAUCCUUGACGGCCUGCUGCUCACAUGCCAGUUGGAUCUUCAAUUGCUGUAGCUCAGCCGUCCUCUCCCCAAGGGCGACAGAAAACCCUUCUGCAGUUCUUCUUAGGGAUUGGAGUUCAUUGGAAUCCCGAAAGGAAGCGACCUGAGCCCUAUCCGCCAGCUGCCCUUGAAGACGGGCGACUUCAUCGGUCGCCGCCCUG